rnacentral:rRNA from 1 species
UUAUGUCCUGGGCUACACACGUGCUACAAUGGCCGGUACAGACGGAGGCGAAGCCGCGAGGCGGAGCAAAUCCGAAAAAAGCCGGUCUCAGUUCGGAUUGCAGGCUGCAAUUCGCCUGCAUGAAGUCGGAAUCGCUAGUAAUCGCAGGUCAGCAUACUGCGGUGAAUACGUUCCCGGGCCUU